rnacentral:rRNA from 1 species
GACGAACGCUGGCGGCGUGCUUAACACAUGCAAGUCGAACGGGUCUGCCCAGUUUUUUGCGGGGUGGGUCAGUGGCGAACGGGUGAGUAACACGUGAGUAACCUGCCCCUCACUUCUGGAUAACCGCUUGAAAGGGUGGCUAAUACGGGGUGUUCUGGCUGUGCCGCAUGGUGUGGCUGGGAAAGAUUCACUUUUGUGGUGUUUUGGUGGGGGAUGGGCUCGCGGCCUAUCAGCUUGUUGGUGGGGUGAUGGCCUGCCAAGGCUUUGACGGGUAGCCGGCCUGGGAGGGUGGGCGGUCAAACUGGGACUGAGGUACGGCCCAGACUCCUGCGGGAGGCAGCAGUGGGGGGUAUUGCACAAUGGGCGGAAGCCUGAUGCAGCGACGUCGCGUGAGGGAUGGAGGCCUUCGGGUUGUGAACCUCUUUCGCCGGUGAAGAAGGUCCUGCUCUUUGUGGUGGGGUUGACGGUAGCCGGGUUAUGAAGCGCCGGCUAACUACGUG